UUUUUGCAGCAGGAGCAGGAGCUAUUUCCAACUUCCUGGCUUCUCCACUGAGUUUCCUUGCGGAAAGCUGCCAAAUCCAUUGUAAAGUACAAAGAGUAAAGGUACCAUGGGACAAAUCCACAUGAAACAGCUGAAACAACAUAGACUGGGAAAAGGAUGAAAGACAGACCUGAACUGCUGGGUUUUCAAAAAGCCAUAAAAAAACCCUGAAUUUUUCAACAUGUCUUGGGGUUAUUGCUGCUGCUCCUUCCUGUAAUCUGGAGAUUCAUGAAUACAGACUUGUAUUCAUUUCUAGUAUUAUGUCCUGUAUCAUUCAUCCUGUAUACCUAGAAUAUGUAAACCACUCAGAGCAAUCUUAUGAAGCCUCUAAGUAAGCAAACAAACAACAUGAAAUGAAAUAUAUGUCAACUUAUAAUGUGACUUUACAUAUGCCUGUUGCAAAGAUAUGUUUUUUUUCUAAUCAAGCCUUCAAGAUUUGAUAAAUGUAUAAAAAUAAAACAUCAUCAGCAUUGC